GAUUAGAUACCCUAGUAUUAAAUAAAAUUUAUUUAAUAAGUAAAUUAUUGAAAUUUAAAAAUUUUGGCGGUUAAUUACUUUUUAGAGGAGCUUGUUUUAUUAAGAAUUUACUCUUUAGAUUUUAUUAAAAAGUUUGGUUUAUUCAUCUCCGUUAUUAGAAUUAAUUUGAAAGUAAAUUUGUUAAAUUUAGUAAAUAUAUUUAUUUAAUAUUUCAGGUCAAGAUGUAGCUUUUUUAAAAAAAGAUUAGCUACAAUUUAUUAUAAAGUGGAAUUUUAUAUUUGGAAGAAAAGAAGAAAUUGGAUUUAAAUGUAAUUUUAAUUAUAAUGUUAGAAUGAAAUAAGUUAAUAAUGUACAUAUUGCCCGUCACUUCUAUGUAGAAUAAGUCGUAA
rnacentral:rRNA from 1 species